rnacentral:lncRNA from 1 species
GAACAAGGGACUCCAAAAAGCAAUGUUGCCUUAGCAACUGCGGUCUUGGUUUCUGGAGAGAUUAGAACUAUUGUUUUCUAACAUUGACUUUAAGAAAUAUCUCUGGGCAUUGGAAAAAAAAUUGGUGAAAUCAUAUUCUACAUGAAGCCAGUUAUGUUUUUGUUUUGCAGGUGAGCCUAAAUGAUUACUUCAUAGCACAUGUGCUCCAGGCUACAGAGUAGGUUGCUUUUUUUUUUUUCUUUCUGUUGGAGCUUCAUAACUUAUUCAAGGGUUGAAUGGAUUCUGUUUAUUAAAAGUAUAGUAUAAUGAUGUUGUUUUUUUUCUUCCCCUUGCAAGGAGUCCCAAGAUGUAUUUUGUUUAGAAGCAUUCAGCUCACAACCUCAGCAUAUUUGUCAAGAAUUAUAGGGAACUUUUCCCUGUUCCAAAGCUUACUGCUGCCUGAGUGUGUGUGAGGCUGAGGGGAGCUUCCCUCCGAGAGGCCUUUUUGUGAAUGGAAAACUUCAUCCUGCAUAACUGUAAAGUGUUUUUCCUUAAUUUGCCAUCAUGUUUGGGUGUAUUGCCAGUCCACAUGGCGUGCUAUGGAGAAUGA